rnacentral:tRNA from 1 species
GAGAGAGGCUUGCCCGCAGCUAGGGUUGCUAACCUUCGUGCCCCAGGUUGGAAUCCUGGGCUCUUCUCG